rnacentral:rRNA from 1 species
AUGGGGAAUAAGAAGGGCGGGUCGUCGUGGCUCACCGCCGUCAAGCGGGCCUUUCGCUCGCCGUCCAAGGAGGACAGCCCCAAGAAGUCUGCACGCCUCCGCGAGGACCCUGACGCCGACGAGGACAAGACCAAGCGGGAGAGGCGGAGAUGGCUCUUCAGGAGAUCCUCGUCCCCGUCUCCGUCUCCGGCGUCUGCCCCCGCGCCGCCGGAGCAGCAGCAGUCCGCAGCGAGGUCGGCACCCGCACCCGCUGUGACGGACGAGCAGCGUCACGCCAUCGCGCUGGCUGUGGCGACCGCGGCGACGGCCGAGGCUGCCGUGGCCACUGCACAGGCGGCGGCCGAGGUAGUCCGCCUGACCCGCCCCUCCUCCAGCUUCGUGCGGGAGCACUACGCCGCCGUCGUCGUACAGACCGCCUUCCGAGGCUACCUGGCGAGGCGUGCUCUGCGCGCGCUCAAGGGGCUGGUGAAGCUGCAGGCGCUGGUGCGCGGGCACAACGUGCGGAAGCAGGCCAACAUGACGCUGCGGUGCAUGCAGGCGCUGGUGCGCGUCCAGGCGCGGGUGCGCGACCAGCGGAUGCGACUCUCCCAGGAGUCCUUGUCCGCCGCCGGUGCGGCCGCCUGCGGCAGCAGCAAAUCCUCCUACAGCGUUGACACAUCCGCUUUCUGGGACUCCAAGUACACCCAGGAAUACGCCGAACGCCGCUCUGUGGAGCGGUCGCGAGACGGCAGCAUCUUCGCCGCCGAAGACUGGGACGACCGGCCGCGGACGAUAGAGGAGAUUCAGGCGAUGCUGCAGACGAGGAAAGACGCUGCUCUCAAGCGUGAGAGAGCGCUCUCAUACGCCUUUUCUCACCAAAUUUGGAGGAACCCCGCGCCGUCAGUCGAGGAGGAGAUGGACGUCGACGGGCAGCCGCGCUGGGCGGAGAGGUGGAUGGCGUCGCGCGCGUCGUUUGAUACAAACAGGAGCAGCGCCCGAACUGCCGCGGCGGCGGCUGCCGCGGCACCAGGGCGCGCGUCCACGGACCACCGCGACCAGGUCAAGACGUUGGAGAUCGACACUGGGCGGCCAUUCUCCUACUCCACGCCUCGCCGGCACGCCCCACCGUCGCAGCACGGGAACGGCUCGCCGAUGCACCGUGCGCACAACCAGGCUUCUGCCACGCCGUCACCGGGGAAGGCGAGGCCACCGAUACAGGUGCGCUCCGCGAGCCCGCGAGUGGAGCGCGGCACAAGUGGUGGAGGAGGAAGCUACACACCGAGCUUGCACUCCCAGCGCCAUGCGUCCUCCGGCUCGGCGGUGCCGAACUACAUGGCGGCCACGGAAUCUGCAAAGGCACGUAUCCGCUCCCAGAGCGCGCCACGGCAACGCCCUGCAACCCCGGAGCGCGACCGGCCACAGACCGCCUAUAACCCCGCCGGAGGGAGCGCGAAGAAGCGGCUGUCGUUCCCCGUCCCUCAGGACCCGUACGGCGUUGGGUACGCGCAGAGCCUGCGGAGCCCGAGCUUCAAGAGCGCGACGGGGCGGUUCACCUCCGAGCAGCGUUCCACCGUGUCGUCUCUGUCGUGCGCAGAGAGCGUCGGCGGGGAACCAGUCUCCCCGUCGUCCACCACUGACCUCCGCCGCUGGCUCCGUUGA